AACCAAACUUGGAGAAGCAGCAUUUAGUUUGUAUGCAGUUCUUUUGCUAGGGUGGAACAACCAAGAGAGCCUUGGUGGAAAGGUGUCUAUUAUGUUUUGAGUGACCUAAAGAAGAAAACCAGGAAAAAUAUGCACCAUUUGAACUUAUUAUCCCUGAUGGAGGGAUGAUGCCUGACUAGAUAGGACCAGACUUCUAUUUGUAGAGUCAGCUGGGGUUACGUGAGCGCGUCAAAAAUGAUCGGCAUGUGGGACAACUAAUAGAUAAGGCGAUACCCCGGAACUCGAGGUACUGAGGGGUGUGUGGGGUGGAUGGGACAUGAAGGCACGUGAUUGAUUCUUUCCACUUGGACCGAAUGACAGGAUUGGUCAGAGUUAUUACAGGCCUUCAGCUUUCAAAAAGAUUCAUUUUUUAACCUCCUUUUUCUGAAUACAAAAUGUAUUUACUACUGUCAGGAUGGAAGGACCAUUUCACCCAGUAUAACAAAAAGUCUUUCUGAACAGGAUUACCAACUAUAUCUUUCACAAAAGCAAACAAAUAACAAUCCAUAGUGAGUUUUUAUCUGAUGCUAUCGUUUAGCUUCAGUUGUGUCAUAUCAUCAGAUCUGUGUGCAGGUCAGUUUGUGUAUGUGGGCUUCUCCUAGCUCUUCCGUGCAGGGUGUGGUUGGCAGGAGGAGUUUAGAUAGGAGCAGAUCCCUUGAGGAAGAUGCCAGAUUGUUUUUGUUUACAAUGUUGUUGAUCAAGCCUACCCUUCUUUGUAUUGCUCUUGUUCUCAGUAAUCCUUAACUUAUCCAACUUUGUCUUCCCCUUUUGCAGGAACAUCCAUGAUCAAAUUCCUGCAUUCCUGUGCUCUGCUUCCUAGUUCCUUUUGGUUUCCGGAGAAAAAAUCUCAAGUUCCCUUCCGUAAAACUCCUCAUUGAUCCUCUGGCAGUCCUCCUAAUAUCAGUCACUUGCCUCCUGCUCAACUGCCUUUCCAUGUACUCAGUGCCAAUUGUGGAAGAAGGGAGAUAAAGAGACAACAUUGCCACACCCUGCCAAACUUAGAUUCAGUGGACAUGUUCACCCCUUCCUGGACUUUUCUCAUGUCAAUAUGCAAUGAAUAUUAUCAACCUGUUAUCAAAUCUUUAUUUUCCAUUCCAGUAUUCCUACAAUACAAUUUACUUCUCCUCUUUAGUGUCAAACCAUGAUCCUGCUGAAAAGCCAGAAAACCUUUUUUUUCCUCACAUGUAAUUGUCAAUAAACUUUGCAUACUAUU